UUUUCUGGGCCUGCCUGUUUGAAGUGCACUAUAAUCACAGUUCUCGCACAUCCUGGACAUGUGUCCAAUGUAUCAUGUGAAAUGGAGUUUAUUGAUGGGUACUGACAUAUUUCACUCUUCAACAUAACUUCAAUAUGCUUGUCAAUUUUUUGCUUCAUGCACACUGGCCUUAAAAAUGCAUUGAAAAUGCAUUUAAAUGAUCUUAAUGAUGCUGUUGGUAAUACCAUGAACCUGUAUUUCCUUCUUUUCUGCACUGGUUGGAUCUGUCCUGCCCAUUGAUGUCUGACUCUUUACAGCUUAUAAAACUAAGGCAUCAAAAAGAUUUAUCCAAAAAGAUUACUCCUUUAAAUGAGCAAGCAACAAAAGUUAAAUCUUGCAAGGAAUGAGACAAGUUUGCUAUUAGUUUCCAUUUUCAAAAAAAAAAAAAAUCAGGGAAAAGAGAUGAGCUGGUUCUGGCAGUCAGUGGUUUAUACUUCUGUCUGACCAGUGCCUCAAGACUAACAGCUCCAUACUGCUCUCACACGGUGGAGAGUAUGCCAUGCUUAGUACUCCUUGUUGCGCUCCAGUCUGCAUCUCUCCAGAAAGUCAGUAAGUCACUUUGGUAGUGCUUUUCUGCUCUGCCACAGCCCAUGGUUGUCAGCAGAGCUUUCUAGUAGAAUGAUAUUCGUCAUUUCUGACAAAUCUGAGAGAAUAUGUGUAGACUUGUUAUUACCGUCCCAUUGCCAGGACAUCACCAAGCUGACAUGAUCUCAUUCCUACAGAAGAACAGAGCCUGCAACCUAAUGUCAAGGAUUAGAGGUAAUUCUGGAAAAAAUCUAUACUGGUACUGCCUUACGAUCUCCAUUUCAUUGUUCAUUCCAACCCUCUCUCCUCAGCCCCAUCCCAUUCCUUCUCCAAAGAAAGCAAGACAUAGAUGGGGAAGAUAGAACAAAAUGAUUGAAAUAGCUUUUUGCAAGGCACCUGAUAACACUUUCUUCAGCUAAACAGAUAAACCUGUCUCUUGAAAUGAGCAUUAAUGAGACACACCGAUAACAGGUGUCCUGCCCUUUCCUUUUGGUUUAAAGUCAGGAGCAGCGUUGCUUUGGCAUGUGGGUAACAGGCCAAAGUAUAUAGUGGAGGAAAUAGUUGGCCUUAGACAAGGCUGCCUGGAGAAUACAGGCAUGCAGGCAGAAGAGGGGAGGUUACCAAUCCCUUAUAAAAACAAGAACAGUGACAUGAACUGCCUUCAGUUCUUGUAAAGAUAAAUAAAAUAGAAGAAAUGCAAAGUGGUGGUGUUCCGACGGUUGCUUCAGUUCCCUGAAAUUCCUAUGGCAGAGCAUUUGGGAGAAAGAGAGACUUGCUAUUAGUCAACUGUAUUGAUUUCUGCCACUAAGGAAAGCGGGAGAAAAAAAAUAUUUACUGUGCUAAACCGCUGGAGCUUUCAACCGGUUCAUAUUGAAAAUUGUCUCCUAUGGACUUCCCUCCGUGGCUUUUCCUCUGCGGAAGGGAAGACUGGAAGAGGCAUCAGCACAAAACAAUGAGAGGCAGUUCCUGUGUGCCCGCCGGCAUCUGCAAGGGAAACGCGCGCUCUGCCGGAGGAGUUGCCUCCUCCUUGCCGUGAGUGACGAGUCAUGAAGCCGUUUUCAGAAUCACAGCAGAUCAAGUAUGGCUGUGAUUAAAAAGUGAUCGCUGUCUAUUUUUAGAUCUGAUUCCUCUAAGUGGCCUUCUCAGUUGCUAUGAAUAGCUGCAGCAUAAUAGUUAAAGUAGACAAAAAAACAGUCCUGUUUCAAGCUGCUUAAUACAUAGGCUGAAUUUCCUAACAAACCAUGUGGUUUUGUGUUUGGGAGAUCCGGAACGAGUGUUGUUUUUAAGUUACUUUUGGUAAUUCUUAUCAGUUUCAAGUGCAAAGGUAUUAUUUAAACGUUUGCUUUUCGUUUCCUUAACAAAAUGUAAGCCAAACCCAAGCUCAUCCAUUUCAACAAACUCUUUAAAGGCUGAUAGGUGGAUAGACUUAUUUUAUAGUGUAGCUCUACACAGAAGAGUGGCUUUGUAAUAGUGGCAACCUCUUCCUUAGCGAGACUGCUACUUGUCUACGUUCAGUCAGAUCUUCGACUUUAUGGCAGAAGUAAGUCUUGACUGCUUUUUACUCCUGUUGGCCCUGUAGAGGCUACAUAGCUAAGCGUCAGGUAUAGCUAAGAGCUAACGAGCUAGAUUUAUUUUUCAGUGUUGAGCAUUACAGCCUCAGCUGAGACUUCAGUAAGGUAUUGAAUACUCCUUACAACAAGGGGUUGGUAAUUUCAAAUCAAUUGCACCUAUACGAGACCAAUGAAAACAGGGCAUGUGGACAGGCAUAGACAAAAGCUUUGUUUAUUUGAUGGGGUGCGGUUUGUUUCUCACAAUAACUGAGAUGGAAAGGACAUAGUUUCAUUGUCAGAGGCCAAGUAGGACCAGGAAUUAGAUUUUUUUCUUGUGAACACCUGGCGUUUGAGAUUAAAACACUGUAAACCUGGGACCCCACAGUACCAUUUCGUAAGUGCUUUUCAGGACAGAAGGCACGAUGUAAGCGCAUUGCUAAACAGGAAGGAAAAGCUCACUGAGAGAUGAAGGAUCUUUAACAAUCAUACCUAGUCAGAAAAUGAUUUAUUCUAUGAGGAAAGAAUGGUGAUUACUAAAGGUUAAUAGGAAUGUGAGUCACCUAAAUUCUGGCAAAUAUGGAAGAUCCAAAAAGAUUCAGAGAGUACAGUAGCCAAGUAGAUAGAAUAAUAAAUAAAAACUUUUUUUUUUUUUUUUUUUUAAUAUGCAAAAAUUGCCAAUUGUAUUUGAAGAUAUAUUUCUUGGUAAACAAGGUUCUCAUGGGUAGGUACAAACCCAAAUAAUUCCAGCAUCCAUAUUGUUCUGUGCUGAAAGAAAAGUAAACAUUACUCCAUAGUUAUCCCUACUCUCAUAUUAAAAAAAAAAAAAAAAU